UAAUGAUGAAGAUGAAGGGCGGAUGAGAUGAAGAUGAAGGUCACCUCACCUGUCCUCCAUGACGUCCCUGCAGGACGAGGCGAUGAUGCAGCCGGCUGACGAGGCCAUGAGGGCCUGGACGGACGACACCAGACUGAGAGGAGGCGUUUCAGAGUCUGUUUGGACAGAACGAACAGUCCGGGGAAGAAGACGGAUCCGGCCGCCACCAGGGCCAACAUGGCUCCUGCCUCCACCUGAGAGUGUGUGUGUGUGUGCACGCGUGUCUUUAAAGUGUGUGUGUGUGUGUGUGUGUCUCUGGAUGUGCUGCCAGUGUAAAAUGAGGACAGGUUUCUAGGAGCUCAGAGAGGAGGAUCAGGGGGGAGGAGCCUCCUGCUGCCACCUGCCACCACACCAGGAAGUACUUAAGUAAAAGUACUCUAUUACAAGUGAAGAUCUUAAUCAGGUAAACACACAGGAGUCAUUAGAAAAUGUACUUAAAGUAUCAUUAUUGUGUUUACUGUUUACUCCACUACAGUUAUCUGAUACUGAGUUACAUUCAAAAGUACAAAACAAGAACAUGUUGCUGAAGUUUAAACCUGUUUGUCUCAUCUGAAGUGCAGAAGUUGAGUAAAUGUACUUAGUUACAUUCCAUCACUAGGAUCAGAUGUCAUUUUACUGCACAACCAGCACUUUUACUACCGAUACUCCAAGUACAUUUUAUACUUUAGACUUAUAUUUAUACUUUUAUACUAUUUAUACUUUUAUUUAUACUUUAUAUUUAAAGUAAUAACACUUCUGUACAUUUACUUGUAAUAGAUUACUUUUACAUUAUAUUUGCAAGUCUUAAAGACUUUGAGUACUAUUCAAAUGAGCAACUUUCACUUUUACUGAUGUUAUAUCGCAACACAAUACCUACAUAUACACAUAUAUUUAUAUAUAGUGUCAGAAGUACAAGUAUCGCUCCAUUCAAAUGAUUCUCACUCUGAACCUUCUUGACCCUCAGGUGAGCCCGUAGAUUUCAGGUGACGCAGGUGAGAAAAGAAGCGACCUGUAUGUUUUCUCCAGUGUCCAUUUAUUUAUUUAUCAUUCACUACUUUAAGUCUAAACAUUUUUUUUUUUAAGAAAUUCAAGUAUUUGUCGGGAACACAAGUCAAAAAACAAACAAAAACCUUUUUGCUAAAACGAAGACAAAACAUCUGUUUAAAACAUCAGUUUCAUAUUUAGAAUAAUAAAAACAUCAAGUUUCUUUUCAUAGAAGAAAAACAAGUCUAAUCUCUACAGAUGACCAGCCGUCCGUCCGUCCGUCCGUCCGUCCGCUCUGCUUCCCUUCCACGUCUGCCAGCUGAAGACUGAACAGACGAGAGCUGAAACACUCGUCAGCUGAUCUCGGAUCAGUGUGCAGGGAGGGAAACGACCACUCAGGUCAUCUAGUUUUAAAAAAAAAAACCUGCUCCUCACCUGGAAGGAUCUCUACCAACACAACAACGCAAGAGAAAGAAAAGAAAAGAAAAAGUCCAAGAGGGAAAAGUUUUGAUUCAUUGUUCCCUAAAUCUUCACAUUUAUACUCCAAAUGUUCCUGAAAAUGACCUCCAACGAAUCAGCUUCUUUUUAACAUGUUUUCACCAUUUUCAGUUAAUUUAAAUGUCGAAGACUCGAACGACAUCAUCCGGAAGUCAUCUGCUCAUUUAAACUGCAAAUAUGAACGCUGCAGGUUCAUAUUUUACAUCCUGACAUUGGAUGUGUGAUGAAGAACAGGAAGGAGAACUGAAGUGUGAAUUCUUGGGAACUAAUUGUAAAAAAAGCAGGAAAUUAAGCAGUAAUUUGAGGGAACUUGUUAUAAACAAUUGGAGGAAAUUUACCUGUAGUUUAAGGGAACUAAUUCAAGGAUAUGAGAAACUUUUGAGGGAACUAAUCAAUUCUUGGGGGAGGAAUUGAGAUUUGAGGGAACCAAUUCUAAAAAAUUGAGGAAAUUAAUUUGUAGUUUGAGGGAACUAGACAAAAGACACUGGAGGGAAUUAAUUUAUAGUCUGAGGGAACUAAUUCAGCAAUAUGACGAAAUUAUAGGGUAAUUUGAGGGAAAUUAAUCUAUUAAGACAAAUUAUGCCAAUAAUUCUACACCAGUCAGUUUAUUUCAGGUCGUAACGUUUCAGUCAUGAAGACGAUCUCAGUUUUAAGGGAACAAUCAUCAAAACGUUCUCUUGGCCUUUUGUAAAAGUCUAAUCAGAUCACAACAAACAAAAACAAAAGCUUCUAAUAAAAAUCACUUCCUAAAGAUGAAUUAAAUAAAAAUUACCACAAAAUGUACGUUUGCGUCGUCGUCGACAAACUCAACCAUUGCACAGCAUUCAAACCCCGACGCUCCCCGGGUCAUAAAUAUACACAUGCAGAUAUACAAGUCAGGGAACGCGGCGGCCUCGUGACCAACAGAGACUCGCUGGGUGUUCCUGGAGAAGAGGAGCUGAGGUUUCAGGAAACUGUCAGGGGCCAACGAGGACGCUCAGGGGCCCCGCGGCUCAGGGGCCCCACAGCUCAGGGGCCCCGCCUGCUGGAGGUUCAGGGCGUGUACAAAAACAAAACAAAACAAAACCUUUCAAACACACGAUCCAGGAAGUGAGGACCUGAACCAGGAGCCGAAGCUCCUUCAGUGUGUUCUCAAGAAAAAGAACCAAACGUGGAUUUAAAAAGCAGAAUCGUUAGCGUGUGACGAGACAAACUGCUGCCAUGUUUGAAUGUUGAGGUGAAAAGAGUCGACCCUCAUCGAGAAAAAAGUUCCUGAGAUCCUAAAAAAAAAAAAAAAGGUUCCUGCAGUCAAACAGGGUCCAAAUGUCUCAGAAACCAGAGGAUGGUUCUGAUGGAUCUGCAUGUUUGUCACAGAGCAGCAACUUCACUUCACAACACAAACCUGCACCGACGGAAACGUUCUGCUGACACGUCGUUUCCAUUCGACCUUCCACUCUGUGAUUAACGUCCAUCGUUUGUCUCAAGUGUUGUUUUGUUCACAAACUGAAAAUUACAGAAAUAAAGUCAGAAUUUGUGAAAGAAGUCAGAUCUUCUGUCUCCAAAUUGUUCUGACGACUAGACUAGAUUUCAGAUCGCAGCUUUGAGGAAAAUUAAAAUCUGAGCCAGAAUUUCCAUAUUAGACAAAUUAGUCAAAGAGUCUUUGAAUGCAACACAGUAGACAGGACAGACUGAUGCGCGUCUGUGCAGGUUUAUUGUUCCUGAACUCAGACAAGCAGCUUGAAAAUCAAACUUCCAGGCUGAUUCAGGAAACUGACGGAAGUCAAAUCGACACGAUUUAAAGGGUUAAACAUGCAAAACCACCAGCCAAUCAAAUUCAACCAAUCAGAGGUCACUGCGUCACCUGUGUGAGGACAUUAAAACACAAUGCAUCAGUUUGUCGUCACAGAACAGAGAAUCUCUAGAUCACACCGCGACAGAACCGACACUUCUGAUCAUCCGAUCCAGGAUCAAUACUGGAGCAUCCUCGUGUAGCUUUGUACAAUUCAUAGUCUGUUAGAACGGGACACCUGAGCCUGAAACUAAACACAGGAACUAAAACAACACACCGGAGAACAGAAACAAAAACAGCAGCAUUUCACCGACAACAUCUCAGAACCUCUCGCUGAUUCUGAGCGGCGGGUCGAGACGAGGAGCGAGCACGAGGUAAAACAACCAUCUGGAGGAAUGACGACAGAGUUGUGACGGGAGGGUGACAGAUAUGCAAACAUCAGUGCUGCUUUCUUCUUGAUUUUUUUUUUGUCUUUCCAGGGUUUGAGGUAACCGAGACGGCCGCAGACCUGCAGAGGAGUCGCUCCAAAACUAAAAAGGGUGGAGACACGCGCUCUUCAACAAACACGCAAUAAAUUAAGAAAUAAAAAAAGAAACCAUCAGCGCCGUCGUGUCUCUCUCCGCUGGCGGGACUAAAAGGUGGAGGCUGAGGAGGAGACGCUCCGUCCACACGGUGUUCAGACGAGACACGAUGAGACGGGACGGACAAGAACCGCCAAAAGUUUUAGUUUUGGCAUCUUCCCGUCAAAUUAAAACACUUAAAAGUCACAAUUUCCUGUCAUAUUUUUCUAAAUAAAACCACACAGACUUGCGGGGGAAUGACUUCCUGUUGUUAAAGACAGUAGAGACGACAGAUGGCGAUGAAGAAACAAACUAAGCUGAGAGAGAGUGUGUGUGUGUGUGUGUGUGUGUGUGUGUGUGUGUGUGUGUGUGUGUGUGUGUGUUUGUGUGUGGAGACCUGUGGUUAAAACUUGCUACAUCUGUUAGAUUGCAUUAUUAUUAUUAUUAUUAUUAUUAUUAUUAUCGCCGCGUCGACGCACGCAGACGCCGUGCGAUGACAGGAAACACAGUGAGUGAGUGAUGCGUUCAAAUGCAGUUUGGAAAAAGAAGGAGAAAGUUGGAGGUGUUGGCGGUUAAUGAUGUCGUGUUGUUUGGCGGGUUAUCACGUCUGGGAGCUUCGACACACACCGAUGUGACGCGUCGUCCUACAGCAGAAGUCUGAUGUCAGCGUGUUUAUCGCUUGUUUAAAUUAAACCGUAUUGCACAGGCUGGAAUGACUUCAAAACUCAACUAAGCAACAAUCUACCAAACAAUUAAAACCAUUAUUUCUCUACUAACAUAGAUGGAAAAACCCAAUCUAGUACCGAGUUCAGUUCUUUUCCUCUUUCUUCAGCAGCAUCUUCUUUUUUUUGUUUUUUUUUGUUUUUUAAAUUCAGCACCGAAAACGCCUCGAGCGUCAGCCGUUUGGGUCGUUUCGAAAAGGAAAGCAGUCGUUCUCAGAUUCUGGAAACUUUGUGGGAGGAGAUAACGGGGGAGGAUGUUCAGGAGGAGAGGGAGUUUCUCUCUCUGGUGGUCGGAUGAGUCGUUUUCUCUCCGCGUCCUCCAGAAGAAGAGAGACAAAAAGAAAAAAAAAAAAAA